rnacentral:lncRNA from 1 species
UUCAUCCCAAUUUAUUUCUUUUAUGACUUCGUAUGACUGAGAUGGAGUUUACAAGUGCAAUUAAUGGUUAGAAGCAUGUAGAGUCUAUGGACAUUAGACAACAAACAGAAACAUUUCUCAGCAAUCCUUUAGGUGUGAUGAAUUGACAGAGAAAAAGUUUUAAGCACAAAACAAUGGAAAACCAGUAAGAGGGUUGGGGUAUUCUACUUGAAAUUGCCAAAUUUUGGAGCUUAAAUGGAGAAGACAGUAUUCAAG